CGGCGGACGGGUGAGUAAUGCCUAGGAAUCUGCCUGGUAGUGGGGGACAACGUUUCGAAAGGAAUGCUAAUACCGCAUACGUCCUACGGGAGAAAGCAGGGGACCUUCGGGCCUUGCGCUAUCAGAUGAGCCUAGGUCGGAUUAGCUAGUUGGUGAGGUAAUGGCUCACCAAGGCGACGAUCCGUAACUGGUCUGAGAGGAUGAUCAGUCACACUGGAACUGAGACACGGUCCAGACUCCUACGGGAGGCAGCAGGG
rnacentral:rRNA from 1 species